ACAGAAGCCAUGGGCCUCAAAGGAUGCGAUUUCUUGGGGUUUUCGGUACAUGAGGAAGUCUGGAGGUGGUGAAAAUGGCUUUGCUUGUUUGUCUAGGUUUCCCACAUAACUUGCAACCAAUAUUUCUUAAAUCACUAGUCGUCACAGUCUUGGAGGUCCCACAAUCAGAUCAUUUCUUCCUUGGCAAAGGGCCCUUCAGAAAUCAUCUAACCAUGUCCAUAUGAUGACCUAACUUCUCUGCAAUGACAUGAAGAGAAGUGCCUUUAGC